rnacentral:rRNA from 1 species
UAAGGAAUAUCGGUCAAUGGACGCAAGUCUGAACCAGCCAUGCCGCGUGAAGGAUGAAGGUCCUCUGGAUUGUAAACUUCUUUUAUCUGGGACGAAAACGGGAUUUUUAUCUCAAUUGACGGUACCAGAGGAAUAAGCACCGGCUAACUCCGUGCCAGCAGCCGCGGUAAUACGGAGGGUGCGAGCGUUAUCCGGAUUUACUGGGUUUAAAGGGUGCGUAGGUGGGCUUAUAAGUCAGUGGUGAAAUCUCCGAGCUUAACUUGGAAACUGCCGUUGAUACUAUAGGUCUUGAAUUAUCUGGAGGUAAGCGGAAUAUGUCAUGUAGCGGUGAAAUGCUUAGAUAUGACAUAGAACACCAAUUGCGAAGGCAGCUUACUACAUACAAAUUGACGCUGAGGCACGAAAGCGUGGGGAUCAAACA